rnacentral:rRNA from 1 species
AGCGAACGCUGGCGGCAUGCCUAACACAUGCAAGUCGAACGAACCUUGCGGGGUUAUUGGCGGACGGGAGCGUAACACGUGGGAACGUGCCUUUGUGUUCGGAAUAACUCAGGGACACUUGUGCUAAUACCGAAUGUGCUCUUCUAGGGAAAGAGUAAUGGCCGUUAGAGCGGCCCGCGUCUGAUUAGCUAGUUGGUUGAGGUAAUGGCUCACCAAGGCGACGGUCAGUAACUGGUCUGAGAGGAUGCUCAGCCACAUUGGGACUGAGACACGGCCCAAACUCCUACGGGAGGGAGCAGUGGGGAAUCUUGCGGAAUGGGCGAUAGUGUGACGCAGCCGUGCCGCGUGAAUGAUGAAGGUCUUAGGAUUGUAAAAUUCUUUGGGCGGGGACGAUAAUGACGGUACCCGGAGAAGAAGCCCCGGCUAACUUCGUG